AGGCUUGUAUAAGAUAACCUUGAAUAUCGCACUGCGCAAAUGUCUGCUUUCUGAGAAUCUGCGCUUACGCGAAUGCAACAUAAAGGGUUGCGCAAACAAUUCUAUGUAGAUACGCAGUUCCUACCGCAGAGCUCAGAACAAUUGAAUAUUUUAGGUGUCAUUGUUGAAUGUUCGGUGCGCAUUGAAAUUCGUGGAUUUAUCUUUACAGUUUACAAGUUGCAGACACGAUAAAGAUGAACAAGAUCUUGGUGUGCUGGUUAGUUUUGGCUGUAAUCAUUGCGGCUUGCCCAGGCGCAGAGGGAAGACGGCAGUAUCGGAAUUGCUGCCGUUACUGCGAGUCACAAGGCAAGGAAUGUUACUGGAUGGGAGGUCAAUGCCGGUGUAGAAAUAUCUACCAAUAUCUCGCACAUUUACCACCAGAUCCUCGGUUGAAGGGAACAUCCGGUGGUUAUUACUCCAUCAAAUAGUAACAAUACUAUUACAAAUACUGGCUCGUGAAAACGUCAUAAACAAACGGCUUUGCCUUACAGGAUUAGUGUUGUAAAAGCCUUUGUGUUGCUUACUUCAAGUUGUUCUUUAUAUUAUAUGAUAAUGUUCUUGAAUGUACUUUUGUUUCUGCAAAUCGCAUUCAACAGAUGAACAAUGAAAAGAAACAUGUGUCCGUUAAUUAUACAAGGAUAUAAAUAAUUUAAACAAUAUUUUGCCUUAUUAGUAUCCUUUUGUAACAAUGACAAUUAAUCCGUUUUUCUAUUGCAAUAACUGUAGUGAAUGGGAACCGAUGUGAAAUAAAUGUAUUACUUAAA